rnacentral:rRNA from 1 species
UAUGUGAUCGUCUCUCGCAUAUCAAUAAGCGGAGGAAAAGAAACUAACAAGGAUUCCCCUAGUAACGGCGAGUGAAGCGGGAAGAGCUCAAAUUUGAAAUCUUAAAGGGUUUCCCUUUACGAAUUGUAGUUUAAAGAAGUGUUUUCUGUUGAGGUUUUGGUAAAAGUUCUUUGGAAUAGGGACAUCAUAGAGGGAUGAGAAUCCCGUAUUUGACCUUUACUUUCAACUUUGUGAUACACUUUCAAAGAGUCGGAUUGUUUGGGAAUGCAGUCCAAAAUGGGUGGUAAAUUUCAUCUAAAGCUAAAUAUUGGCGAGAGACCGAUAGCGAACAAGUACCGUGAGGGAAAGAUGAAAAGAACUUUGAAAAGAGAGUUAAACAGUACGUGAAAUUGUCAAAAGGGAAGCGUUUGACACCAGUGUUGUUUUUCUGAAAAUCAAUUAAAGAACUGUUUAUGCUAAGUUGUUUAGACUUUAUCAGCUAACUGUUUAGUUUUGAGCUUUUCUUUAAUGCACUUUUCAGUUAACAAGUCAACAUCAAUUUCUUUUGCUGUAAAAAAGCUUGAGGAAGGUGGCUUGAGAUUCGUCUUAAGUGUUUAUAGCCUCUUGCCUAUGCAGUCGGAGAGAUUGAGGUCUGCAGCGUAGAUCCUUCGGGGCUAAAUGCAUUUGUGCUAAGUUAUAGCAUUUUAUAGACAACUUGUUGACUAUGAUUUGUCUUGUAGCUUACUCGCUUAUGUUAUUUUACCUACGCUUAGGAUGUUGAAUCUGUGCGAGACUAC